CUCCAGUGCUUUAUGCCAGUUUCUGCAGGCUCAGCUCUAAACAUUCAGGGUGAAGAGCAACAGCACAGAGACAGUUUUGGUAGCUUUGACCAAUCUUGUAUGUUACUGCCCUCCUGUCCCCUAAUCAGGGUCGUAACACUGACAAUGAGAGGUAAAUUAAUUCUUUUGUCCCUUAAUCAAGGCACAAAAUAAGACUUUGUACCCCUCAGCAGUAAAAGCCUGAUGGGACAUUGUUGUCCCCCUGCCGGGAAGGCCGGUGGCAUGGACACAGUUUGUGAAUGGAGGAGAACGAGGCAACAUAGGAGUUUCAAAUUGAUACCACGGGUGCAUCUUCUGGGAGGUUGAGGGUAACACUGGCGGCCGUCGUUAUGAUCCUAUAGUGUUAAAAUCUGCAGUGUUUUCAGUAAAUUCCCAGCUGCAGACAUCAGUAAAUGAUGAUUCAUUUAAAUACUCGCCUCCAAAAAUCUUCUAAAAAGUCAGAAUUAAACAGGACAACUGAAAUCUACCACGUAUAUAUGCAAUGAGGCAGUUGAAGUCUGGCACCAGGUGUCCUCAGCAAAUUCAAAUGGUAGUUUUCAAAAGAGGGUUUUGUGCUGUGCCAAAUGUCUUCAAUUUUAAUCAAUUCUGAGAUUUGAAUAAAUCCUGGAAAUUUCAAGUUUUGGAUUUUGUUGGAAAUUUGGAGCUGCUCUCGAGUAGACUCACAGCUUUACCUGUUCUGCACCACACUUGACUCCCAUGUUGGGCCCACAGAGGCCUGGGUUUAGUCCAGCAGAGGACAGGGAGACACAAGACCUGCAACUGAUUAAAGAGCUCAAUAAACAGUCACAACAGACUCCAGCCUGAUAUGAUGCACUGUAAUCUGAAUGUGUAGUUGGUGUUUGACAGUGGCUGAUGUGCUGUGUAGGCUCAGUGUUUGAACUUCAGCUAUGAAUCACUAGAAAAACACCGCCAGUGAAGUCUGGUGGCAGAGCAGCCCUCUGGCUUUUCUUUGGGCUUGAAUUCUAUUAAAAUGUGUUGUAUUUAACUUUGGGGGGGUUAUACAUCAUUUUGCGUAACCUUAACUAGUUUCUGUAAACAGCAGUUUUUAGUUGAGUAAUACUCGAGCAUCCAGAGGAACUGCUGGAAUUUCACAGGACAGGCAGCACACUAGAGGCUACAAACAGCAUCAAAGAUACAUCUGUGUAAUACGUUUAUCAACAUGCUAAUUGCAAAUAAAAUCUACUCAAAAUCAUAAAAACGUAGUUGAUAUUUUGUGACUUUUGACCAAAGAAAGCUACGAGAGUAGCUUUGUGCUUUUGAUGCCUGAAAAUACAGUUCAUCCUAUUUGUCUUAUGGUGCUUUGCUGGUUAUAGCAUGUAUGACAAGACCUGGAUUCUUUGUACAGAAACAAUUAUCCAUUAAUAGGUUAAAAAUAUCGCUUGUUAUCACCAAUAAUGGACACAUGUUUAAAGCGAGAGCAUCUAAAAUCUUAUGUAUUGCUUAGUGUUGUUUUUGAAUAAUGAGCUUCAUACUUGGUGCUGAGAAGUGAUCUGUGAUAUAAUGUAAUAAUAUAAAACUAGUAUCAUAGUUCAGAUGCUGAUCUUUCAAAAUGUUAAAUAUGUUUGUUUGUUUUUUUACAUUGUGCUGUUCUGACCUGCAAAAUUUUAUUUUAUAAAGGCAAUUAUUUUGCUUUACUGUAACUUUUCUGAUUAAAUGCUGCUGUCACCUGGUAUUAAAA
ensembl:lncRNA